GUGGUGGUGGUGGUGGGGAGGGGCUGACCCCAACCCUAUGGGUGGGGGAGUCCCUAACCCUGCCCUAUAAGCUUAUGGGGUGCUGGGGGGCCCCCCCUUUUUGGGGAGGGCCCCCCCCCUUCUUGGGGAGGGGGCCCUCAUGUCCCCAUGCCCUGCUAUAGGGGCAGGGACCCCUGGGGGAGCUGUCGUCGGGGAGGGGGUCCCCACGUUGGGGAGGGAGCCCCACUUGCCCGCCCUCCCCAGGAUUUGGGGAGGGGGCUGCCCUAGCUUUUUGGGUGCCCCCCCUUUAUUUUUUAUGCUGCAGGACCCCCCCCCCCCCCACCAUGCUGCCCCCCCGUUGCUGCUGGGCUCUGCUCCUCCUCUGCGCCCCCGCUUUUGGGGGGGGGCUGCUGGGCUGGCUGGGUUUCGGCACCCCUCCCCAGGAAGGGACCCCCCCAGGACCACCACCGAGCCCUCCCCCGGGACCACCGAGCCCCCCCCACGUCCCCUUCGAGAUGACGACGGGCGACGAGCGCUUCCAAGCCGAGGGGGCGCAGUGGGAGCUGUCCCCCCUGGACGCCUGCCACCGCCAGGUCGUGGCACGGCUCCGCUCGUCCUGCGCCGACCUGAGCGAGGAGGAGGUGGCCAAACUGGGGGUGGCCCUGUUCAACUGCCAGGCCAGCGCCGAGGGCCGCCGCACCUACCCCUGCACCCCGGAGAUGUCGCUGGCGAGCUGCACGGCCCCCAUGGACCCCGACACCUGGAGCGCCUACCAAAUCGUCUCCAACCGUGCCCGUGCCGUCUGCUACGCCGCCCGGCAGCUGGAAUUUCGGCGCCGCGCCGAGCACGCCGUGGCCGCCUUGGCCGCCGCCGCCUCCGACCAGCUCCACGCCGCGCGGGCCCUCAAGGAGAGGCACGAGGAGCUCCGGGAGAGGAUGGCCGAGGGGCUGCGGCGGGCGCUGAGCGGGCAGAAGGUGCUGGAGGAGCAGCAGGAGCGGCUCGCGGGCGAGCAGGGCAGGAUGGAGGUUGCCAUCCGCCGCGCGUUGCGGCACCGGGCGCUGGAGGAGCGGCUCCUCGACGGCGCGCGGCGCCGGGUGGCCCGGCUCGUGGAGGGCAUGGCACGCAGCGUGGGGGACAUCAGCAGGAGCUUGGCCACGCGGGACCGGGGGCUGCGGGACGGGCAGCGAGCCAUCCUGGCCGACCUCCGGCGCCUGCAGGAAAGAGCUCGGGACGUCUCCGCACAUCUAGAGAGCGACCUGGCCUCGCUGCUGGCCCAGCGGAGCCGCGCGGCGCGCUCCUUCGAGGAGGUGGCGGGGACGUUGCAACGCCUCAACCGGAGCCUGGGGCUGGUGCUGGCGGCUGCCGAGGGCGUGAGGAAGGUGCAGAAGGGACUGGAGAGCCACCUGGAGAGCUUCCACGCCGCCCUCGCUUGGCUCGGGUUGAGCCCCGGGGCCGUCCCCACCUGCGUCCUGCACGGUUCCUAUUUCCUUCUGCUGGCCCUGCUGCUGGCCUUCCUCCAGGUGCCCGCGCCGCCCCGCGCCCUCCUCCUCCUCCUCGUCCUCUCCAGCGCCCUCGGCGAGCUCCGCGGCGCUGAGCCCAUCGGUUUCCCAGCCCUCACCGCUCUCCUGGCCCUGGCUGUGGCAGGGCACUGGGUGCUGGCGGCUGCCCUCCGAUUUGCUCGGCGGAUAUCCCACCGGGCUGAGCCUCGCCGUCACCUCACCUCCACCCCAGAAAGGGAUUGCAAAAUGGGAUUGCUGCAGGAGGAGCUGGCCAGGAUGGAGAUGAGCUGCCUGCAAGAGCCCUCGUGCCUGGAGCAGCCCCCGGUGAUGGUUGGGGACCCCCACGCAGCAGGGAGGACGUCGCUGGUCCCCGAAAAAAAGGGGCUGAGCUCGGUCCCUUCGCCUGGGCACCCCAUCCCCAGGAGGAGCCCGUAUGGGGUGAUUUUGGAGCCAGGUUUUGGAGCUGGGCAGCGCCGGGAACCCAAACCCUACAACCCGAGCCAGUCCUUGGCCAGCAGCACCGCGUCCUCAUUGUCCCCACGGACCCCGUGCCGGGGGCUCACCAGGGCCGGGCAGCGGUGUCGGAAGAGAGCUGUCCCCGGGCAGGAUUUGUGCCACGUCCACAUGGAUGGGUCCCCACGCCUCUGACCCCCCAAAAUGGGGCUUUUUAACCCAGUUUUGGCUCAUUUUGGCAGCUGGAGAACGCGGAGCUGUGCUCAGCACCCUAUGGGUGCCCCCUUGGUGUGGGUAUGGGAUUCCUGGGCUCCCCCUUGAGCCCCGUGGGGCGGAUACUCCUCAUCCCCCCAUUUUUAUGCUAUUUGCACAGAUUUUAAUAAAUGCCAGUUUUAUUUAUAGCUA